UACGGAGGGUGCAAGCGUUAUCCGGAUUCACUGGGUUUAAAGGGUGCGUAGGUGGGUUUGUAAGUCAGUGGUGAAAUCUCCAAGCCUUAACUUGGAACUGCCGUUGAUACUAUAAAUCUUGAAUGUUGUGGAGGUGAGCGGAAUAUGUCAUGGUAGCGGUGAAAUGCUUAGAUAUGACAUAGAACACCAAUUGCGAAGGCAGCUCACUACACAAAGAUUGACACUGAGGCACGAAAGCGUAGGGAUCAAACA
rnacentral:rRNA from 1 species